rnacentral:rRNA from 1 species
AGAGUUUGAUCAUGGCUCAGAACGAACGCUGGCGGCAUGCCUAACACAUGCAAGUCGAACGAGACCUUCGGGUCUAGUGGCGCACGGGUGCGUAACGCGUGGGAAUCUGCCCUUAGGUUCGGAAUAACAGUUAGAAAUGACUGCUAAUACCGGAUAAUGACGUAAGUCCAAAGAUUUAUCGCCUAGGGAUGAGCCCGCGUAGGAUUAGCUAGUUGGUGGGGUAACGGCCUACCAAGGCUACGAUCGGUAGCUGGUCUGAGAGGAUGAUCAGCCACACUGGGACUGCGACACGGCCCAGACUCCUACGGGAGGCAGCAGUGGGGAAUAUUGGACAAUGGGCGAAAGCCUGAUCCAGCAAUGCCGCGUGCGUGAUGAAGGCCUUCGGGUUGUAAAGCGCUUUUGCCCACGACGAUGAUGACGGUAGUGGGAGAAUAAGCCCCGGCUAACUCCGUGCCAGCAGCCGCGGUAAUACGGAGGGGGCUAGCGUUGUUCGGAAUUACUGGGCGUAAAGGGUGCGUAGGCGGCUCUUCAAGUCAGACGUGAAAGGCCUGGGCUCAACCUGGGAACUGCGUUUGAGACUGUGGGGCUCGAGUCCGGGAGAGGUGAGCGGAAUUCCCAGUGUAGAGGUGAAAUUCGUAGAUAUUGGGAAGAACACCGGUGGCGAAGGCGGCUCACUGGACCGGAACUGACGCUGAGGCACGAAAGCGUGGGGAGCAAACAGGAUUAGAUACCCUAGUAGUCC